rnacentral:sRNA from 1 species
UAACACAAAACACGAAACAUGCGUGAGC